rnacentral:rRNA from 1 species
UGCAGAGGUCCCAAGCGUUGUUCGGAUUCACUGGGCGUAAAGGGUGCGUAGGCGGUCGGGUAAGUCUGAUGUGAAAUCUCCAAGCCUAACUUGGAAACUGCAUUGGAUACUAUCCGGCUAGAGGAAUGGAGGGGAGACUGGAAUACUUGGUGUAGCAGUGAAAUGCGUAGAUAUCAAGUGGAACACCAGUGGCGAAGGCGAGUCUCUGGACAUUUCCUGACGCUGAGGCACGAAAGCCAGGGGAGCAAACGGG